GGAUAUAGUAAAGUGGUAAAUGCAAAUCAUGGAUGAAAUUUAUAAGAUCGCUUCCACAGAAAGGAUCCAGCAGUUAGAAAAUGAACUGGCUAUGCAACUGACUGAACUAAAGUCUGAGAUAGAAGAACAGGAGACUCAUCGAGCUUACAGCUCUGUUCAAAUACCAAAGGACAUUUCUUACUUCAGAAGAGAAAGGGAACUGGCUCUAAAGAAAACUUUACAGGUGGCUGAGUCAAAGCCCCUUGUUGUUCAAGCAGAUGUCAUGCAGAGGGAGCUAGAGAGCUGCCUAAGAAGAGAGUACACUAAUGAAAAUUUACCUUUGCUUCUGUUGCAGUAUUAUACAGAGAGAAUUACCCAGUUGGCCCAGAGUAAAUAUUUGCACAUGCUUAGAUGGAAGAGGUUUUGCCAGCACAGUAAGAUUAUGGAGCAACUUUAUCCCCUUUACAAGUCUCUCCAGUAUUUGCCCAUCUCCAAAGUGCUGAGUGUAGCUGUUAAUGAAGAUCCAGAGGCUGGUCAGGAGGAUGAAAAGGUCUGUGUCGAUGACAUCAACCCUAACAACCAGGGUUCUGUAUCUCCAGGCCCUGUGGAUACCAGCAUUUCAGGGCUGACAAGAACAGAAACUGCUUUUUUCCUGCCCCAACACACAACUGAAAGAGAAGAACUGAAACCUCAGCUGGGGCUCCUGCUCUCCCAUUUCAGUAUCUCCUAUGACGUGGAGUUGCUGAGGGACACUGCUCAGGAGAUGGAGCUUUUUAACUUGGUUUCCAAAAAAUUCCGAAGCAUCUUCAUGGAGCAGCAGAGAAUGCAAACAUUUCCAGAUUAUGAUGCUGAGAUAGCUAAAGUGGAGAAUUUGGGUUUGGCAGGUCCUGGUAUGGCCUUGAAAAAGAGAGCUAACUGGACUUCCUUUAUAAAGAUUAAGCCAAAAUGUGAUCCUUGGCAAAAGAAGAUUUUGACUAGACUAAAAGAAAGGAGAAGAAUAGAUGUAUUAAUGGAACUCCAAGCAAAGUUUUUGAAGAUUUCCAGCCCCGAGCGAGUAAUGCAAGUGCUCCAAGACCACGCUGCAAAGACAAUCAUGCCACCUCCAUCUCGUCCAACUUUCGUGGCUUCCCAGGGUUUGCAUCAGUGCAACUAUGACCACAUCUGGGAGAAUAUUUAUAGCAACAUCAAUCUCUACCAGAAUGAAAAUAUGAGGGAAGAGGACCUUUCAAUGGAACAAAAUGAAAAUGACCUAGCACAAAUAAGUCGCUGCCAACAUGCUGGUGAGCCCGUCAAGCAGAAAAAAGAGACAGGGUAAAAUUAAAUCAUGUUAUUGGUGACUCAAGGAAAUGGAUUAAAUACAGGGAGGGGGUGGAAAUUGAGUGACUGAUUAAUAGGUAGGUUACAUGUUAACUCAAAAAUAUUUGAAGCUGAAAUAAAAGCAAGGCUGUUCAAACA
rnacentral:lncRNA from 1 species